rnacentral:lncRNA from 1 species
UGGUGAGCGAUGGAGAACUGGGGUUCAUGGGCAGAGUGGUUGGCUGCCCCACUGUCAGCCUGUUCUGAAAGAGGGAAUGACCCUCAGCUGAGCUGAGAUGUCGCUGGUGGAGACUCUAAGACUGUGGAUUCUGACUCCCUGGGCUCGGGAAGGACAGUGCUGGGAACAAGGGGCAGAAAGGCACGAUGAAGCUGGAGUGCCUCAUACCGCACCCAUGAAAGUGGCGAAGGACUCCCAGAACCAUUCCUGGGGGCCCGUGGGAACGAGGACUUUGGGGGCACAAGGAUGAGCUGAAGAAGUCUUCCUGAUUGUGGCUGUCAGAGGGAAGACAUGGCAUCGCGGUGGGCCAGAGUAUCAGCCUCAACUCCACCCACCUUUCAGGCUGCGGUCUCCGCCGUGGCCGCUGUGUGCAUUGGAGGGCACUUGGCAGCAUCCCCGGCCUCCCCACUAGAAAACCAGAUGCCAGGAGCAUCCGCACCCCUCCCCAAGGUGCAACCACCAAAAACGUCGCCAGAUAUUGCCAAAUGGCCCCGGGGGUGGGGACAAAUGCCCCUCCUCCCCCUUGAGGACUGCAGCUGGAACUCAAUGAAGAGCAGCGAAAGGGCCACAAGCCAAGACCUGAGCAGCAUCUAACAGCUGGAAAAGGCAAAGAUAUGGGAUCUCCUGGAGCCUCCAAGAGGAGCCAGCUCUGCAGACACCUUGAUUGCAGCCCAGCAAGGCCCAUGUCAGGCCUCUGGCCUCCAUAACUUGAUAAUAAAGUUGUGUUUUAGGCAAUUAAAUUUGUAGUUCUUUGUUACAGGAGCAAUAUAGAGAGGGACUAAUGAACUGCCAUUGUAUUAAACCACUGACAAUCAGAGUUGUUUGAUAAAGCAGUCAAGUCAACCUAAGUAAAACACUUCAGGACCAAGAAAUAAAGUCCUCACUUGAGGAUAGUGAGAUCUGAGAGCAGUAAAGCCACUUCCUUCUCGUGAGACCGACCCCUCUUGCAGACCUGCCUCUGGCCUGGCCCCAUGGAGUGGCAGGCCCCAGUCCUCUGCUCUUCGGGUCACAGGUGGCCCAGCAGGCUCUGCGCACAGCAUUUCGGCAGCACAGCAAUGCCUAACAUAAUACUCACUCCGGGAAAAAGCAAGCUGCAAGCUGUCAAUGCUAAGUCCCCCUAAUGCUUUAAUUGGUACUUACUCUAGUUAGUUCAUUUAAAAGUCCCCACCUCUGCCAGAUGCACAGUGAAGCUGACCCGACAAGAGGGCCUGACGGUGGCAGAGCAAUGUGAUAAUUAAUGCGUCCUGCUUUCCUCCGCUUGAAUUAAUGUUUUCAUGUCACUUAGACAUCACUCCUGGAAACCGUUCUGGUUUUCAGUAAUCAGCAGUUCUCCAUCCCAGAGCCCAGUAGAUAAUCAAUAAGUGGUUGCUGAGUGAACGAAUGGCUGAGUCAGAGAUCUCGAAGGGUCAGAUUUCACUUGGUUCAAGCCCCAAACAGUCUCUGAGAAAUUGAGCCAGGGAGGUCUCAGGGGGCCUCGAGAUGCCAGGGUACGAGCGAACUGUGGCUGGGAAGGUUGUGUAAAGAGGAAUACAAAGCAGCCCGGGCAUCCCAGUUACGGCCACAGAGGUGUCAGAGUGGCUAGGAGCCACGGCGUUCCCCCAGGCAGGGGCCACUCCCCAGCUGUGGGAGCAGAAGGGGCCCAGCAGGAGCCCGCGGGAGUCUCGGUGCCCGGAUGGAGCCAGAGCCCGAAUCCCGCAGCGCAGACGCCGCCCGGGGAGGCCCGCUCAGGAGGCGGCAUCGGAGUCCCGGUGCAGGAGAAGGCACCGGCCUGCAGAGGCCGGGGGAGGGAUUCGCUGCACCCGGCGGGAGAGUGGAGCGGUGGAAUGGCACAGAACGGCCUGGAGUCCGGCCUGGGGAAGGCCCAGGCAGGGAGCGGAAAAAAGGCCGGAGAGGGAGGCGGGGGUCAGAUCCGGGCUGGAUCGUGAAGGCAGCAGAGGGCUUCGGAAGGAGCCCAGGCAGGGCUGUGCUGCGGCCUGGUUUUCCUGCCGGUGCUGAGGACGGCGGCCGCCACGGGAGUGUGUGCUCCGUGCUUCUGCGCCGCUCCAGGCCUUUGGGAUCUCGCCCUCUGCAGUGCAGAGAACUCACUGGGAGGAGACGAGCGAGGCGGCGGUGGCUGCGCAGCUGGUGGGUGGGGACUGGGGGGCGGGCGAGCGCUGUCCUCGGCUUGGGAGGAAGCACAGCCCCCGGACGCCCGCCAGGGGCCUCAGGGAGAAAGAAGGGGCGCCACAGCCAAGGCUCCACAGCGGUCCCUGCGACUGGGGCCCGGAGAAGGUGCAGGAAGGAAAGAGAAAGCUGGUGGCCGCCUGCCUCCAGGGCGGGCCUCCGAGCGGUGCCCUGUCCCAGCCACAGCAUCACGACCCCUCUCCCGGCCGGGCCGCGGGCGAGGUUCCCAGGCCUUCAGGGGCGAGAUCCGGGGUCUCCAGAGAGAGGUAGCAGAGUAAGAACGGCCGUGGGUAGCGCGCCCCUCCGCCCCGCAGCUAUCCGCAGGUCUCCGGCAAGCUGAGCUGACCUGCUCCAUCGAUGAGGUCUCUGUUCAGUUACCACCUGCUCUGAGAAGCCUUCUCUGCCAGGGUGACUCAUGAUCCUGAUUUGCCAGGACUCAGUGGGUUCCUGGAACAGCCUGGGAGCCGGGGGUGGUGGUGGCUUUCCUGAACCCUGACUUUGUCUGAUGUAAGCCCGGCUCACACUGUUCAUUCACUCUGAUCCUCAGUUACUUUACAGCAAUUAACACCAAUCUGUUCUCAAAACGCGAGGUCCUCUUGCUCAGGGCUGUGCUCCUAGCAUGCAGCCCUUGCCUGACACAUGGCUGACAUUUCAGUGCACAUUUAAACGAGUAGAUCAACUGCUCCAUCUUCCCCCAGAAGCUCUGUCUGUCCCUCCACAACUUGGCUCAUGCCAUCUCUUCCGUAAGCGCCGUGUGCUCUUCUCUCUCAGAAAAAAACUAUUUGUUUCUUGACAGCUCAGCUCAAAUGCCAGCUUCUCUCGACCCCAAGCACUAGCAUGGGUCCUGAAACCCUGGUGCCCUCCACAAUGUGUAUUCAAUAAAUGACUCUACAUUUUUCCCUGUAGAUGUCAGUUUUAUUAACUUUGGCCUAUGUUUUCUGAAUUAUUUUUGAAUCUUUAUUUUGUGAUCCAAUCUAUUAGUGACCCAUAACAGGCUAUGUCAUCCACAAUUAAAUAAAUGUGCACUCUCUGU